UACCAGCACCCCGAGUGGUCGGGACGAUUAUUGGGCCUAAAGCAUCCGUAGCCGGUUCUGCAAGUCCCCCGUUAAAUCCACCUGCUUAACAGAUGGGCUGCGGAAGAUACUAUAGAGCUAGGAGGCGGGAGAGGCAAGCGGUACUCGAUGGGUAGGGGUAAAAUCCGUUGAUCCAUUGAAGACCACAAGUGGCGAAGGCGGCUUGCCAGAACGCGCUCGACGGUGAGGGAUGAAAGCUGGGGGAGCAAACCGG
rnacentral:rRNA from 1 species